UACCUGCAGCUCAAGUGGUGGCCGCUAUUAUUGGGCCUAAAACGUUCGUAGCCGGCUUGGUAAAUGCCUGGGUAAAUCGUGUAGCUUAACUAUACGAACUCCGGGUAGACUGCUAAACUUGAGACCGGGAGAAACUAGAGGUACUCCUGGGGUAGAGGUGAAAUUCUGUAAUCCUGGGGGGACCACCAGUGGCGAAGGCGUCUAGCUAGAACGGGUUUGACGGUGAGGAACGAAGCCCUGGGGCGCAAACCGGAUUAGAUACCCGGGUAGUCCAGGGUGUAAACGCUGCUUGCUUGAUGUUAGUUGGGCUCUGAGCCUGAUUAGUGUCGGAGAGAAGUUGUUAAGCAAGCUGCCUGGGAAGUACGGUCGCAAGGCUGAAACUUAAAGGAAUUGGCGGGGGAGCACAGCAACGGGUGGAGCGUGCGGUUU
rnacentral:rRNA from 1 species